rnacentral:tRNA from 1 species
GUAGGAGUAGCUCAAUUGGUAGAGCGCUAGAUCUCGUGAUUCUAGAGGUUGCGAGUUCGACUCCCGCCUCCUACU